rnacentral:rRNA from 2 species
AAAUUGAAGAGUUUGAUCAUGGCUCAGAUUGAACGCUGGCGGCAGGCCUAACACAUGCAAGUCGAACGGUAACAGGAAGCAGCUUGCUGCUUCGCUGACGAGUGGCGGACGGGUGAGUAAUGUCUGGGAAACUGCCUGAUGGAGGGGGAUAACUACUGGAAACGGUGGCUAAUACCGCAUAACGUCGCAAGACCAAAGAGGGGGACCUUCGGGCCUCUUGCCAUCAGAUGUGCCCAGAUGGGAUUAGCUAGUUGGUGAGGUAACGGCUCACCAAGGCGACGAUCCCUAGCUGGUCUGAGAGGAUGACCAGCCACACUGGAACUGAGACACGGUCCAGACUCCUACGGGAGGCAGCAGUGGGGAAUAUUGCACAAUGGGCGCAAGCCUGAUGCAGCCAUGCCGCGUGUAUGAAGAAGGCCUUCGGGUUGUAAAGUACUUUCAGCGGGGAGGAAGGUGUUGUGGUUAAUAACCGCAGCAAUUGACGUUACCCGCAGAAGAAGCACCGGCUAACUCCGUGCCAGCAGCCGCGGUAAUACGGAGGGUGCAAGCGUUAAUCGGAAUUACUGGGCGUAAAGCGCACGCAGGCGGUCUGUCAAGUCGGAUGUGAAAUCCCCGGGCUCAA